AUGUUGGAUGAUCCUAAUGAAAAGAUUUUUAUCCAUAACCACUAGGCAUUAUGUCAGCAUCCAUCUUAAUCAGAUUGGAUAUUGAUAAAGUUGAUCAUCCAUAAUUUUAUUUUAAAUCAUCUGUAUACUGAUUUAAUCAUGAUUUGAUUAAAUUAUCUCGAUCGAACCAAUCAAAAUGUCGAGCAAUGUCACUUGAUCAGUCCUAUCCCAUCUUGUUAGUUUUUCUCUCCAUUUGAUUUAUGAGCUCAAUAAAGGAUUCCCGGCCC
rnacentral:lncRNA from 1 species